GACGAACGCUGGCGGCGUGCCUAAUACAUGCAAGUAGAACGCUGAAGGAGGAGCUUGCUUCUCUGGAUGAGUUGCGAACGGGUGAGUAACGCGUAGGUAACCUGCCUGGUAGCGGGGGAUAACUAUUGGAAACGAUAGCUAAUACCGCAUAAGAGUAGAUGUUGCAUGACAUUUGCUUAAAAGGUGCAAUUGCAUCACUACCAGAUGGACCUGCGUUGUAUUAGCUAGUUGGUGGGGUAACGGCUUACCAAGGCGACGAUACAUAGCCGACCUGAGAGGGUGAUCGGCCACACUGGGACUGAGACACGGCCCAGACUCCUACGGGAGGCAGCAGUAGGGAAUCUUCGGCAAUGGACGGAAGUCUGACCGAGCAACGCCGCGUGAGUGAAGAAGGUUUUCGGAUCGUAAAGCUCUGCUGUAAGAGAAGAACGAGUGUGAGAGUGGAAAGUUCACACUGUGACGGUAUCUUACCAGAAAGGGACGGCUAACUACGUG
rnacentral:rRNA from 1 species